GCCAGGUUCCUUAGCUGAAUCAGCUGAGAGCAAUGAGCUGGGUCUGGAUUCAGCUGUGGAUUCCUCACAAGAACUCUGAAGCAGAGGGGAAAGCACUGAGACAACUCUUGGAGAACAGGAAUUCUUAGUCCAGGUUCUUGGACUUGCUAUCAGGGUCUGUCACCUGAGGAAGCAGCUCCUGUGUCCCACCCUCCCUUCACAAGUGUGGUGUAAGAAAGAAGAGGAGAAACAAAAAUUAUGUUUGAAUCAGCUGGUGGAAGGCAGACGGCUCUUGAGGGUGGCUGAAACCUAAACUAAUCUCAGAAGGACUCUUAUUGCAGAUUCAUCAUGUUCCUGCUGCUUCUGGUGGCUAGGAAGACCACCUUGCAUCUGGAUCUCCUUAAGAAGAUACCAUGCCAAAUAACAGAGAAGCAGCUGAAGUGGCUAAGAUCUUACAAGACCUCAUGAUCAUGAUUGUCCUGUCCAUGUUUUCACUGAUCUGUGGAAAUUCCUGACAGCUAGGAUGAAGCAGCAUGCCACAUACAGAAAACUCCUGUUAGGUUACCUUUAUCAUAUUUUAAUAAAUAGUCAAAACACA